GACGAACGCUGGCGGCGUGCUUAACACAUGCAAGUCGAGCGAGGCCCUCCUUCGGGGGGUGCCCUAGCGGCGAACGGGUGAGUAACACGUGGGCAACCUGCCCUCAGCUCUGGGAUAACUCCAAGAAAUUGGUGCUAAUACCGGAUGUGACCGCUGACCGCAUGGUCUGGUGGUGGAAAGAUUCAUCGGCUGAGGAUGGGCCCGCGGCCUAUCAGCUUGUUGGUGGGGUGAUGGCCUACCAAGGCGACGACGGGUAGCCGGCCUGAGAGGGUGACCGGCCACACUGGCACUGACAUACGGGCCAGACUCCUACGGGAGGCAGCAGUCGGGAAUUUUGGGCAAUGGGCGAAAGCCUGACCCAGCAACGCCGCGUGAAGGAUGAAGCUUCUCGGAGUGUAAACUUCAUAAGAAUGGGACGAAUAAAUGGGGAUAACUACCCCCCAUGAUGACGGUACCAUUUGUAAGCUCCGGCUAACUCCGUGCCAGCCGCCGCGGUAAC
rnacentral:rRNA from 1 species